rnacentral:ncRNA from 1 species
GUGAAAGCGAGGAUGGGGACAAGUAGUCUCUCUUACCUCCUUCCAGAGAGGCGGGGUCACCGGCUGCAAGCCCUGCUAAGGAGAGGAGCAGAUGAAACCACCCCGGAGUGCCGUUGCCAAAACCGGUUGGUGAGUAGUGACGGACGGCGCCCGCCGUUAUCGGGAUGGAGAGGUUUUGCCAGCUGGCAAAACAAUUUGGGUGGAACCGCGGAAGCAGAGCUUUCGUCCCAUAG